AAUAGAUACCCGGGUAGUCCACGCUGUAAACGUUGGGCGCUAGGUGUGGGCGACUUCCACGUUGUCCGUGCCGUAGCUAACGCAUUAAGCGCCCCGCCUGGGGAGUACGGCCGCAAGGCUAAAACUCAAAGGAAUUGACGGGGGGCCCGCACAAGCGGCGGAGCAUGUGGAUUAAUUCGAUACAACGCGAAGAACCUUACCUGGGCUUGACAUGCACUGGAAACCGGCAGAGAUGUCGGCCCCCUUGUGGCCGGUGUGCAGGUGGUGCAUGGCUGUCGUCAGCUCGUGUCGUGAGAUGUUGGGUUAAGUCCCGCAACGAGCGCAACCCUUGUCCUGUGUUGCCAGCGCGUAAUGGCGGGGACUCGCGGGAGACUGCCGGGGUCAACUCGGAGGAAGGUGGGGAUGACGUCAAGUCAUCAUGCCCCUUAUGUCCAGGGCUUCACACAUGCUACAAUGGCUGGUACAGAGGGCUGCGAUACCGUGAGUGGAGCGAUCCUUAAAGCCGGUCUCAGUUCGGAUCGCAGU
rnacentral:rRNA from 1 species